rnacentral:rRNA from 1 species
UACGUAGGGGGCAAGCGUUGUCCGGAAUUACUGGGCGUAAAGCGCACGUAGGCGGCUUUGCAAGUUAGAGGUGAAAGCCCGGGGCUCAACUCCGGAAUUGCCUUUAGAACUGCAUCGCUAGAAUUGUGGAGAGGUAAGUGGAAUUCCGAGUGUAGAGGUGAAAUUCGUAGAUAUUCGGAAGAACACCAGUGGCGAAGGCGACUUACUGGACACAUAUUGACGCUGAGGUGCGAAAGCGUGGGGAGCAAACAGG